UACGAAGGGGGCUAGCGUUGUUCGGAAUUACUGGGCGUAAAGCGUGCGCAGGCGGCUUCUCAAGUCAGGGGUGAAAGCCCGGAGCUCAACUCCGGAACUGCCAUUGAAACUGUUUAGCUUGAGGAUGAGAGAGGUAAGUGGAAUUCCCAGUGUAGAGGUGAAAUUCGUAGAUAUUGGGAAGAACACCGGUGGCGAAGGCGGCUCACUGGCUCAUUACUGACGCUCAGGCGCGAUAGCGUGGGGAUCAAACAGG
rnacentral:rRNA from 1 species